GAGACCCACGCCAACAGUUGCCAGCACGUUCUCCGGAAUGGUGGGGACACUGUUGGGACCGCCUCUGCUAAAGAGGAGGAAGGAAUGGGCAACGGUAGGUCAGCAUGCCCCGAAUUAUCCGGGCUACACGCGGGCUACAAUGGGUGGGACAAUGGGUAUCGACACCGAAAGGUGAAGGCAAUCUCCUAAACCCAUCCUUAGUUCGGAUUGUGGGCUGCAACUCGUCCACAUGAAGCUGGAAUCUGUAGUAAUCGUGUCUCAACAUGGCACGGUGAAUAU
rnacentral:rRNA from 1 species